CCAACAGGGAUUGCCUCAGUAACGGCGAGUGAAGCGGCAACAGCUCAAAUUUGAAAUCUGGCCUCGUCGGGGCCCGAGUUGUAAUUUGUAGAGGGCGUUUCGGGCGCGGUGCCGGUCUAAGUCUCUUGGAACAGGGCGUCAGAGAGGGUGAGAAUCCCGUACGUGACCGGCGACCAACCCCAUGUGAAACCCCUUCGACGAGUCGAGUUGUUUGGGAAUGCAGCUCAAAAUGGGUGGUAAAUUUCAUCUAAAGCUAAAUACCGGCUGGAGACCGAUAGCGCACAAGUAGAGUGAUCGAAAGAUGAAAAGCACUUUGGAAAGAGAGUUAAAAAGUACGUGAAAUUGUUGAAAGGGAAGCGCUUGCAACCAGACCUGUCCCCGGGCGAUCAGCGGCUGUUCUCAGCCGUGCACUCGUCCGUGAUCAGGCCAGCAUCGGUUUGGGCGGUCGGAUAAAGGCCGCGGGAAUGUAGCUUCCUUCGGGGAGUCUUAUAGCCCGUGGUGCAAUGCGGCCAGCCCGGACCGAGGACCGCGCUUCGGCUAGGAUGCUGGCGUAAUGGUUGUAAGCGACCCGUCUUGAAACACGGACCAAGGAGUCUAACAUCUAUGCGAGUGUUUGGGCGUCAAACCCAUGCGCGUAAUGAAAGUGAACGGAGGUGGGAACCCUUCAGGGCGCACCAUCGACCGAUCCAGAUGCCUUCGGAUGGAUUUGAGUACGAGCAUAGCUGUUGGGACCCGAAAGGCAAGUUGUUUCCCUUCAAAGGUGUCGAAUCUCAAGCUAACAGAUAUUCUAGAUGGUGAACUAUGCCUGAAUAGGGUGAAGCCAGAGGAAACUCUGGUGGAGGCUCGCAGCGGUUCUGACGUGCAAAUCGAUCGUCAAAUUUGGGUAUAGGGGCGAAAGACUAAUCGAACCAUCUGAACUUUCAUCCUACUGGAUGGUUCACGCGAGGUCCAUUCGGAGCUCGAUCAGUUCCCCUUCGGGGGGGCCACAUUGCCAGUCUUCGGGUAUGCCUCUGGCUACCCGCAGCGGACCCUGCGGGGCGCCGUUCACAGACUAGACAGCGAUGGCCGUACGCUGUGCGACGGUUGUGAGAUAGCCGAGCCGGCCCCUUCCGGGGCCGUCAGUGCGAGUAGCUGGUUCCUGCCGAAGUUUCCCUCAGGAUAGCAGUAACGUUUUCAGUUUUAUGAGGUAAAGCGAAUGAUUAGAGGCCUUGGGGUUGAAACAACCUUAACCUAUUCUCAAACUUUAAAUAUGUAAGAAGUCCUUGUUGCUUAGUUGAACGUGGACAUUUGAAUGCACCGUUACUAGUGGGCCAUUUUUGGUAAGCAGAACUGGCGAUGCGGGAUGAACCGAACGCGAGGUUAAGGUGCCGGAAUGUACGCUCAUCAGACACCACACACUCUUUUGUGGGGUCGAAUCCCGGGCUGAAGAGAAGCCCCGAGACGAGUCGGUAGGUGGCUUCCACCUGCCGGCAAGGUCGUUGAUCUGUCGUGGAGUUCUGGCUAACCGCCAGCUCACCCGCAGCCGCUCUUCGAGCGGUUCACAGAUUAAGUUUCGGCCGGUGGUCCUAAGGAUCGCUCAAGAUAUAUUCGGCCUCUAGGUUUCCGCUUAGAGAUCGCGCGAAAAGGUGUUGAUUCAUCUAGACAGCCGGACGGUGGCCAUGGAAGUCGGAAACCGCUAAGGAGUGCGAUUAUUACGCGUUACAUGCUCCUAAUAUAGCCGCUUGCUAUAGAGUGAAGAUGAGCACUCCAUCGUUCGAAAUUCGUGGAAGUGUCGCGAGCCCUCGCGGGCAGCAGCAUAUCACGAGCCUAGAAUACAUCGGGUCUUCGGUGUUGAUAAGGUGUACAGACUAAACCGAACGGGAUCCCUUUACGGAGAUCUAAUAGAUAGUCGAGUCCAUCUCCCUUUCGGGGGUGGCGUGAGGAAGGGGGUCGUCGCAAGGCGGUGCGUACGGGCGUGCCCCUACGCUUAACUCCCUCGUCGUCCCUAGAAGCUUUCACCAUACGAGUCUUUUAGGGGCGGCGGUAUUCCUCGCACCUACGGUGUAACAACUCACCGGCCGAAUGAAUCAGCCCUGAAAAUGGAUGGCGCUCAAGCGUGCUACCCAUACCUCGCCGCCAGGGUAGAAACGAUGCCCUGGCGAGUAGGCAGGCGUGGGGGUCCGUGACGAAGC
rnacentral:rRNA from 1 species